UGGGGAAUAUUGGACAAUGGGCGCAAGCCUGAUCCAGCAAUGCCGCGUGUGUGAAGAAGGCCUUCGGGUUGUAAAGCACUUUUAUCAGGAGCGAAACGCUGUCGGCUAAUACCCGGCGGAACUGACGGUACCUGAGGAAUAAGCACCGGCUAACUUCGUGCCAGCAGCCGCGGUAAUACGAAGGGUGCAAGCGUUAAUCGGAAUUACUGGGCGUAAAGCGUGCGUAGGCGGUUUCUUAAGUCUGCUGUGAAAUUCCCCGGGCUCAACCUGGGAAUGGCAGUGGAUACUGGGAGGCUAGAGUGUGUCAGAGGGUGGUGGAAUUCCCGGUGUAGCGGUGAAAUGCGUAGAGAUCGGGAGGAACAUCAGUGGCGAAGGCGGCCACCUGGGACAACACUGACGCUGAGGCACGAAAGCGUGGGGAGCAAACAGGAUUAGAUACCCUGGUAGUCCACGCCCUAAAGCGAUGCGAACUGGAUGUUGGUCUCAACUCGGAGAUCAGUGUCGAAGCUAACGCGUUAAGUUCGCCGCCUGGGGAGUACGGUCGCAAGACUGAAACUCAAAUGAAUUGAC
rnacentral:rRNA from 1 species